rnacentral:rRNA from 1 species
AUUGAACGCUGGCGGCAGGCCUAACACAUGCAAGUCGAGCGAGCGGCGGACGGGUGAGUAAUGUAUGGGGACUGCCCGAUAGAGGGGGGUAACUACUGGAAACGGUGGCUAAUACAGCAUACUAUCGGAUAACCCAUAUGGGAUUAGCUAGUAGGUGAGGUAAGGGCUCACCUAGGCGACGAUCCCUAGCUGGUCUGAGAGGAUUAUCAGCCACACUGGUACUGAGACACGGCCCAGACGCCUACGGAGGCAGCAGUGGGGAAUAUUGCACAAUGGGCGCAAGCCUGAUGCAGCCAUGCCGCGUGUAUGAAGAAGGCCCUAGGGUUGUAAAGUACUUUUGGCAGAGAAGCGUUAUCUGCAGAAUAAGCACCGGCUAACUACGUGCCAGCCGCCGCGGUAAUUC